AUAGAAUAAGUGCAUAAGAAUGCUUAAAAGAUAAAAAGGAUGCAUAGCUAGAGUAAUUGACAUGUUUUGUUAUAAAAUUAGUUAAGUUGGGAAUUCAAUGGAGAGCCAUUAUUAGAGAACAAACAAAAGGAAACACAAAAUCAAGAGUGACUUACAGUACAAGGGACAUCUAAACCAUUGAGAAUUUCCGGCCAAGUUGGGACAUGUCCCGCUCUUACUGGAGCUUUAAAAGGCCAUGCACGGCCAAACAUUCUUUUUCUGACAGGAAGAGGCCUUUCUGUCUCACCUAGUUUACGAAAGCUCAUGGGCAAUUUUGAGUUACCAGUGGUAAUUACACUAGGUUCUUUGCUGUGGUAGCACGGUUCUAGAAUGUCAUAGAUGUUUAGAUCAUUAACUACCUGCAAUAGGCGAAAAGGUAAAUUUGGGUCAAUAAAGCAGUGCAACGAAUUGCUGUCUCGACGAAAUGUGUCAAGUAUGACAGAAUAACACCUUACCUGAUCAAUUCUAUUAAGCUUGUCUGAACAAUUACUACCCGCUGGUUCGUAGAAAUUUCCAUGGCAUGCAACAGUAGCUUCCUGAGCAUGAAAAAGAAUAAUCAGAGACCAGUUGCUAAUAGACAACGAGGCAAUGAUUAUGUUUUUGCUGAUAUAUUGGAGUGGUAGAUGUAUACACAUAGCUUGACAUUUGUUUUGUAACAUCUUUUUUGGCGGAUUAAAACUGAUCACUAUCUUCUGGCAAUUUCAUCUAUGUUUGACAAACCUUCUCAUAUAUACCAGAAGCUAGUAAGGCUCCAAUGUGUUAUGCUACAAUAAUUUGGAACAUGUCCUAAUUAAAAGCAUUUGAGGCUUCAAACAUCAUCUUUUGCCAGCUAUGACUUCCAGAAAUCUAAAACAGUUCAGAAGUCAAUGAUUCAAGCACUAAAAAAUCAAAGAAGAAGAAGUAAUUACCUCGUAUAAGUCAUCUGAAAUGAGGCCCAUACCAUGUUGAAAUGGAACAAGAGCAUUAGCGUCUAUUAUCUCAUCUGUCACACCAUUUCCCACCAUGUAACCCUGUGUGCAAUAGAACGUUAAGAGUUUACAGCCCAGACAACUAGUUAACACGUGAAAAUCUUGAAAUAAUAUAUACCUUAAAGUUGAUAGCGGGCGUUACUCCAGCAUCAAUACCUAAAAGACAUAAGCAGAAGAAAGUUAGUUUGUUUAGCCCACCACAUCAACCAAUACAUGUUCAUUUAAGAUCCACAUUACCUUUUACUACUUCGUAAGACAAAGUUGGCACAUAUAUUCCUGCAUAAGACUCUCCAGAUAUGUAAAAUGGGUUCGUGAGGAACUCCGGGUAGAUCUCAAACCACUAGAAAGAGCAUCAAUUAGUAGAACAACAAAUGAGUUAGGACAUAGUUAGCAUAAAAACUAGUAAAUUUAACUAUCAACCCAAGUUUAUGUAAUAUUACCUUGAGAAGAAACGAAUGGGUAUCAAAUGCAGUCUUUAAGUCUCCUGUCACGUAGUCAGAUUUAUUUUUCGAGUAAGAUAAUCCAACACCAACGGGAGAAUCCAGAUAUAUUACACUGGAAACCUGGAAGAAUCAAAUCAUAAUGAGUGGCUAAUGAAAUGUAAGCAUAUGAUAAAAGUAGAAUUAACACAAAUAAUAACCUUGGACCAACUGUAUGGAUUGUUAUGCAGAGAAGGCAGGCUAGUACUUGGCUUUCCCAACUCAAAAUUAAAGGGCCCUGCAAUGUAAAGAAAUACCCUUUCUUACUAUAAAAAAACAACAAAAAGAUAUGUAAAAGAAAUCCUUUGUUUAUGAUGAAUAAGAAUAGCAACUGCAUCUCUAUGGACUACAUUUCCAACUAACAUCUUUUACUUGAGCUGGUUAAAAGAAUUUUCAAAUCUGUCAAGGAAGAAAUCAACAUUUUUAUGUCAAUUGCAGAGACUGUCAAAAACACAGUUUUGGUUGACCUAUUAUCUAUGUAAAAUAUUAAAAAGUUUUCAACUUUUAUACAUUGAAUGUGUCAAAAAAAGCAUUUUCACACUAGCAGAUCACUUAAAAGAUAACUACAAGUAUGAGUUAAUAACUAUCAAAUGACAAUAAAAAAGGGCAAUUCGGUGCACGAAACAUCCCACUUUAGCGGGGUUUGUACUCUAAUGCAAGCAUUAGUGGUUGCUUCCAUAAAAAGCGAGACUACUAACAUAAAGAAUAAGAGAGGUUAUCAACUACAACAUGUGAAAAUACACUGAUAAUGUAAAGACUCUUUACCCUAAAGAUAAACCAAACGUGCUAUUAGUCCCUUGUACAACUAUAAAAACAAAAGGAGAUCUACAUCUACUAUAAAAAAAAGUACAACCUAGUACAUAUAAUGUAAUUUUCCGACAGAAGGGUUGUUACCAUGCUCAUAGACAAAGCCAUCAAAGCUUGAACAGCCAGGUCCACCAUUAAGCCAAAGAACAACUGGAUCCUUUGAUGGAUUUCUUUCAGAUUCAACAAAAUAGUAAUACAAAUUCUUUCCAUGACUUUCAUCUAUGUUAACAUACCUGAAAACCCAUUUUUCAAGAAACAUUCAGAAAAGUUCAAAAAUCAAGAUAAAGUUGAGACCUUUUUAUCAAAAAACACAAAAAGAACACAAACCCAGCAUAAUGUUUUGAGUGAAAAGUGCCAUUGAAGCCAGGGAUUUGAGUUACCAAUGCACUCUGAGGUGCCCCUUCUGUUACCAAAAACAAAAAUGUCAAGAAACUAGUAAUUAACAGUAUAUUACAAUGUAAAAUAAAGUUUUUUCUUGCCAUGUUUAAUUUGGUAUAUCAAGAUUCUGAAUUUUUUGAUGGGUUGUUAUAGUUUGAGAAAAUAAUUAUACUGUAUCUAAAAAGUAGUCCAUCAAUUUUUUUGCUUUUAAGGCAAGAUUGGGAGAAACUGACAGAAUAUAAGGUUUUCAAAAUACAGUAAAUUAGUUAUUAUAUGGUUGUUAUUUAAUAGUACCAAAUUGGUAUAUUAUAAUUGAAUUAUCUUACCAAGAAAAAAGAUAAUGCUAUAAAUGAACUCACAUGCUUAUGCUGGUAUGACUUUUCUAACGGAAAAUACUCUGUUAUUUAAUCAUUGUUUUUGUUGAAACUUUUAUGGCAUUUGUUAUUCUAUAGCUUCCUAUCUACUCUUAAGUCCUACAGAAUUUUAAGUUUAUAAGUUUUGAAUUUUAGAAAAAACAAUUAUUAAAUAAAUUAUACAUAUAUAUAGUAUGGAUAGUAAGUUCCUAAUCUAUAAGAAAAAUGGUAAUUCCGUUCAUAUUAUUUUAUUUAUUGGCUCUAUAAACAUAGUUAAAACUAAUAGUAAACACAUUUUAUAUUUAAUUAUAAUUUUUUUUACCAUUUUAUUUUAAUCUUAAUAUCUUUUUAAAAAAUCUCAUAAUAUCUUUAAUAUCACAAAUAAAAAAACUAUAUUUAUAUAUUUUGUGUCUAAUUAAAUUGCAAUUAUUGAUGCUAUACAUUUUCAUAUAAUAAAAACUCCCACCUACUAUCCUUUUUUUCCUUUUUAAAGCAAAAAGCUCAUUUUGCUGUUAGAUUAUAAAUUUAUUCAAAGUCUGAUAAGAAGGGUGACUGUACAUACCACAUCAUACUAUUUUAUUUUAUUUUUCAUUUUCUUUGUAACAAUUCCACUAAACAAAAUAUUUUAAAGUUCAUUGAUACUCAGCUUCAUAUAUAGUAGUUAUGUCAUAUAUGAUGCAGUGUUGUCAAAUUGGUUAGAUCAUUAUUUAUAUGAAGAUAUUAUUAUUAUAGAUAUUUGACCUAAUCAAGGUAGUAUGAAUCAUCUCAGCUUCGAUUAUGAUGGGUGACUAUGGGAAAUCAGUUUCAAGCCACUGCUUAUGAAAGAAUUUCGACUAUGCCUGACCAUCAUAAUAUUCAUAAUCGAGAUUGAUGAUGAAUAGAGGAGUCCAACCACAAUCAUUAUUGGUUCGCCUUACAAUUUUUUCAAAAGUUUUGAAAAUAUUUUGAAUCAUUAUUUUUGUUCAUUUGUAGUACGUAAAUAACAGGAAUUUCAGAGCAGAAAGAAAAGUUGAUUAAAGACUGUUAUAACAAUAAUAUCCAUUAUACAACUAUUUUUGUGUAAUUCAUAACAACCAGAGGACGAUGUGACACGCCUAUUUUAAUUUUGGUACUUAGAAUUAAUCACAACAACAAAUCCUAUCUUUAUUUGUAGAUAUUUUUUCUAGCAUAAUAGGAACAAUCUCUUCACGCUGAGCAUGCGAAAUCAUUUAGCUUUUUGGUUUUAGUUCACCCCUACUUAUUCAACAUGACAACGACAACAACAUGAUACUCAAUUAAAUUUCAUAAAUGAUGUUCGAGGAGGAAAAAUAUAAUAAAUCUUUCCUCUGUAAUUUUUAUGGGUAGAAAUGUUGUUUUCGAUUAACGAUGUGUUCAAAUAGUUGUUGAUGAGCUUAAGUAAGUGUGGGAGAUGAAUACUGGAGUGAAAUACUAAUUAAUAUGAGCAUGCAUGCCUCAACAGUCACAAGGUACAUUGGAUAACAUACAAAUACUUAUUUCUUAUUGCAGACUGAAAUACAUGAUAAAAAUCCAAUAUUAUCUCAGAAAUAAUUGGACUUAAUGUCUACAAAUUCAUAUUAUUCUUGCCCUCAAGCCACCGGGCAUGUCUUCCAAUUCAAUCUUCAUUAUUCAUAUUAUCAUAUCUUCUUGCCCUCUAGCCAGCGGGUGUAGAACGCCAACGCCUCUUGUGGUUUGUACUCUGGCACGGUGUGUCCAGCUCCCUGAAGAUAUCGGAAAUCAAUUUAGAUCAAAGAAAGGGAAAAAACAGAAAAAUGAAAGUUUUUCUUGAUAUGAACAUGAUACCUUAAUAGUCAUAAAAAUGAGGUUGUUGUCAUAACCUUGUAUGAAACUGCACAAAAGAUUAAAGCAUUUGAAAUGGAUUUAGAAUUGCAACACAUUAUAGAAGUAAAACAACAUGAAGAGGAUUUAGAAGGUGAAAACGCUAAUUAACAUACCCUGCAACUUGUUCAUUCACAUACCAAGGCCUCCAUUCAUCCACGAUCGGAUAUCCAAGAGAUCUUGUCCAUACUGCUGAACCAGUGAAUGGAACACACAUAUCGUGAUCCCCACUGCAAAAAACCAAAAAAAUGAACAAAAUCGUUCUGGUUAUAGCAUCAAAAAAGAUCUCAGAUAAUUAGCGUGUGAUCAGGUACAUGCUCACUAAACAUACGAGUAAUUAAAAAGGACAAAAAAAAAUGCAUAGAGAAAAGUUAGAAACUUAGUAAUCUAUUGAACCUGAAUAUGAUUGCCCGAUAGCCCCGAGCUGUGAGAUUUUUGUGAUACGAAUCAUGCUUCCAGAAUCAUGAUAAAGAUAUAUUUUGUCUGUGCAUAGCUCCCAGGGACCUAUCACAGUUGCCUGUUGUUGUACCAUAGGAUUUUUAUCUAACUCUAUAUAUAUAUUUUUUUUAUUAAAGGUAAAGAUGAGAAAAUUGUAUCUUACUGGUUCAGCAUGAAUAGCUUUACGAACAUCUGCAUUGUUGAGCCACAGAGUAGCAACACGAUCAUCCUGCAUAUUUCAUUUCAGUUAAACCGGCAUGAUGCUAAAAGAAUUAGAGUUAAGGAAAUUCACUCCAUUAAAGAGCUAGGUCACAAUAGGAUAAAGGGAGGGUUCCAAAAUAAGAAAGUCCUAAAAAGCAAAAAAUGAAUUCCUCAAAGAGAGAACAAAAUAAGCAGAACUUAAAAUUUACAACAGUUGGACAAUAGAAUAAGUGCAUAAGAAUAUUUAAAAGAUAAACAGGAUGCAUAGCUAGAGCAAUCGACAUGUUUUGAUAUAAAAUUAGUUAAGUUGGGAAUUCAACGGAGAACGAUUAGAGAACAAACAAAAAAUGAAGAGUGAGUGACUUACAGUGCAAGGGACUUCUACACUAUUGAGAAUCUCCGGCCAAGUUGGGACAUGUCCGGCUCUUACUGGAGCUUUAUAAGGCCAUGCACGGCCAAACAUUCUUUUUCUGACAGGAAGAGGCCUUUCUGUCUCACCUAGUUUACGAAAGCUCAUAGGCAAUCUUGAGUUAGCAGUGGUAAUUACACUAGGUUCUUUGCUGUGGUAACAUGGUUCUAGAAUGUCAUAAACGUUUAGAUCAUAAACUACCUG
rnacentral:lncRNA from 1 species